rnacentral:rRNA from 1 species
AUUGAACGCUGGCGGCAGGCCUAACACAUGCAAGUCGAACGAGUGGCGGACGGGUGAGUUAUGUAUGGGAAACUGUCUGAUGGAGGGGGAUCUCUACUGGAAACGGUAGCUUAUACCGCAUACCAUCAGAUGCGCCCAGAUGGGUUUUGCUUGUGGGUGGGGUAACGGCUCACCAGGGCGACGACCCCUAGCUGGUCUGAAGGGAUGACCAGCCACACUGGAACUGAGACACGGUCCAGACUCCUACGGGAGGCAGCAGUGGGGAAUAUUGCACAAUGGGCGCAAGCCUGAUGCAGCCAUGCCGCGUGUAUGAAGAAGGCCUUCGGGUUGUAAAGUACUUUCAGCGGGGAGGCGUUACCCGCAGAAGAAGCACCGGCUAACUCCGUGCCAGCAGCCGCGGUAAUUC